rnacentral:rRNA from 1 species
AACGAACGCUGGCGGCAUGCCUAACACAUGCAAGUCGAACGAGACCAUCGGGCCUCUUGGUGCACGGGUGCGUAACGCGUGGGAACCUGCCCUUAGGUUGGGAAUAACUCCCCGAAAGGGGUGCUAAUAUCGGAUAAUUUCUUCGGACCAAAGAUUUAUCGCCUUUGGAUGGGCCCGCGUUGGAUUAGCUGGUUGGUAGGGUAAAAGCCUACCAAGGCGACGAUCCAUAGCUGGGAUGAGAGGAUGAUCAGCCACACUGGGACUGAGACACGGCCAGGACUCUUACGCGAGGCAGGAGAGGGGAAUGUAGGACAAUGGGGGGAAGCAUGAUCGAGCAAGGCCGCGUGAGUGAUGAAGGCCUUAGGGAUGUAAAGCUCUUUUACCCGGGAUGAUAAUGACGGUACCGGGAGAAUAAGCACCGGCUAACUCCGUG